GACGAACGCUGGCGGCGUGCUUAACACAUGCAAGUCGAGCGGUAAGGCCCUUUCGGGGGUACGACGAGCGGCGAACGGGUGAGUAACACGUGGGUGACCUGCCCUUAGCUCUGGGAUAAGCCUGGGAAACUGGGUCUAAUACCGGAUAUGACUCCAUGACGCAUGUUGUGGGGUGAAAGCCUUGUGCGGCUAGGGAUGGGCCUGCGGCCUAUCAGCUUGUUGGUGGGGUGAUGGCCUACCAAGGCGACGACGGUAGCCGGCCUGAGAGGGCGACCGGCCACACUGGGACUGAGACACGGCCCAGACUCCUACGGGAGGCAG
rnacentral:rRNA from 1 species